CUCAGAUUACAGCUGCAUGCUGUAAAACUGACUAGUAAAGCAUGUCUUUUGUUCCUCAGCAACAGAGACUCAUCCACUUACUGUCAUCUGACUCGUUUCCGUGUAGCCCUGUGCAAGGGCUAGGAAGCAGCACCUGGGUCAGCUUUGCCUUCACUGCCAAUGUGAGAAAUAAACAGCUUCAACCUAAAAAAGGGCUUGUUUCUUUAUCAGAUGAAUCAAUCCAUCAAGCUUGGCCUUGCCUUGUGUAUGAUACGUCUUACUCUUUUUCAAUAUGAAAGUUUAAGACACGAUGAUGGACCACAGCCCCCUAGAAGUAUUGGAAAUGACACUGUGGAAGGUCAGUGUGAGCCACUGAGAGAGUCUGCAUGACUCCAAGAUCUCCGGCAUCUCAGGACUCCGCGACAAUGAAGGUUGCUCUGCUGUGCCAACGUUUGCCAAGGUUUGUUGUGUCACUGUAAUUACAGGGUGAACGUAGCUACGCUCCUCAGUACAAAUAAAGGCGUCAGAGCCCACUCUGCAGCAAUUGUCUCCCAUUAGGGAAAUGUUAGGUUUCUUCCAAUGAUGAACAGCAGUGACACAGUGUAUAAUUCCUGUAGCCCUGAUACAGUGCAUCCCAAGCCAGAAACACCUCUCUCUCGUUAGCCAUGUUUUGAGAUAGAGAACUUUCCUCUAUCAUUUGCUUGACAUGAGUUUACUUCUUCCCAGAAAGCUGAACUAUAAUAAAAAGCCUUCUGAACUCACCUUUUCCCUAAGAGUAAUUAAGUGACACUUGUAUGUGAGGUUUUAAAAAAUCCUUAGGCUAAAAAAAAAAAAAAAGCCUUAGGCUUAGUAAUGCUGAAAGAAAGAUACAUUGUUUUUUCUUUCUGAAUUUUUUACCUAAAUAUUUAAGUAUUGUAAGUAAUUCUAGCCCUUGAGGUUCUGUAGAAAUGACCUGAAAAUGUUCCAUUUCAGUUUAUGGAUAAUUACAGCUUUGCAAUUUCAGUAAAAGUGAUCACCUACACAGAGUGCUUCCCUGCCUCUCUUCUCUUGUUUCCUGCUCACUCUCUUUUUCAGAGAAUUAUUAUUCUCCCAAAGACACAGGCCUAUUAUCUUCACACAGAGGCUCACAGAAAAUAGCCAAUCGAUGCAUGAAGAUAAGUUCCUAGUAAUUUUGUUGUGUUGUUGUUUGAGUUGUGUCCAACUCUUUUGCGACCCCAGGGACUGUAGCCCGCUAGGCUCCUCUGUCCAUGGGAUUAUCCCAGCAAGAAUACUGGAGCGGGUUGCCAUUUCCUACUCCAGGAGAUCUUCCUGACCCAGGGAUUGAACCUGCCUCUCCUUUGGCAGGCAGAUUCUUUACCACUGAGCCACCAGGGAAGCCCAAUAGUAACUUAAGCUAGCAUAAAUGUGGAGAGAUGAAAAGUGUUAUGAUCAGUUCCUAGUUUAUCUUUGUUUUAUGUUUAUUGCUAAAUAUGUAGUAAUAAGUUCAGAGGGUCACAGAGGAAGCUGUUGAAGGCAAAGGGAAAAAACAGUAGGUCUCAGUGUCCUUGUCACUCCAAUGAGUAGCCAGCUACCCACCCUGGACCUGUUUAUAUAAACUAUUGAUUUCUGAUCAAUGUAUAUCUCAUGGGCUAGUUUGGGAUUUUAUCUCCAGCUGAAGUCAGUUUCACAGUUUCCCUCUGUGGCUCAGGAUCAGGUCAGGAAUUGUUUGCCUCAGAUUCAUGGGGAGAAUUAUUUUGAGCUUAUCUGAAUUCUUGGUUUCAAAGAAGAUUAUAUUGUGACUUAACUUGGCAAAUGAGGGUUGCAGGUUGUUAUUUGGAGUAUAGAAAAGGUAUUUUUGCUUAGAUUGUUUUCCGGUCCAAGCAUGGAUUGUUUCCACUGUGAUCAAUUCAAUGAAAGAGUAAUCACUUGUAAACAAAGUAUCUCUUUUUAUCAAAUCUUUCUGAAUACAGAGAGCAGUGGUCUGGUGCCUGCAGCCUUGAGGGGCUGAAGAUUGCACAGGGAAAGGGUCUGGGGGCAUGAAGAAAUGCUGAUUUUGCUGCAAACAUCAGGCAGCCAGCACUAGCCCUGAAGUCUUUAUUGGUCACUGGCAGGUGACCACAAGGACACUUAAGAGUACCUUGGAUUCAGGAUUUGGAUUUUCACGACCACCUAAGGGUCAAUAAUGCUCCUUCAGAGAGUCUGGGGGCAGCGCCAGAGAAGUACUAUUUCUACACAUCACCUGUGAUUGUUUCGAUACAUGAAGCUGCUGUGUCCUGAAAACCGUUUGCACAUUUUUGAGAAAAUUAUAGAUUUCUUGUUUUAUAUUGAAUAUAAGAAAUAAUU
ensembl:lincRNA